GUCUUUUUGAUUAUAAUUUAAAGUCUAACCUGCCCAAUGAGGAGUUAAAUGGCCGCGGUAAUUUGACCGUGCAAAGGUAGCAUAAUCAUUAGUUUUUUAAUUGGAAGCUGGUAUGAACGGUUGGACGAGAAAAUAACUGUCUCAAUUUAAUUGAUAAUAGAAUUUUAUCUAUAAGUAAAAAAGCUUAUAUUAGUUUAAAAGACGAGAAGACCCUAUAGAAUUUUAUAGUUACAUAUUUAUUUAAUAGUUAGAGUUGAAAGUUAGUUAGAUAUGACGCUAUUUCGUUGGGGCGAUGGAAAAAUUGAUUGAACUUUUUUUUGUUUUAUUUCAUUGAUUUAUGAGUUAUUGAUCCGUUUGUAACGAUUAUAAGAUAAAAUUACCUUAGGGAUAACAGCGUAAUUUUUUUUUAGAGUUCUUAUCGAAAAAAGAGUUUGCGACCUCGAUGUUGGAUUAAAAUUAACUUUUGGUGUAGGGGCUAAGGGGUUAGGUCUGUUCGACCUUUAAAAUUUUAGA
rnacentral:rRNA from 1 species